UACGUAGGUGACAAGCGUUGUCCGGAUUUACUGGGCGUAAAGAGCGCGCAGGCGGUCGAUCAAGUCGAGUGUGAAAGCCCCCGGCUCAACUGGGGAGGGUCAUUCGAUACUGAUCGACUCGGAGGCAGGAGAGGGUAGUGGAAUUCCCGGUGUAGUGGUGAAAUGCGUAGAUAUCGGGAGGAACACCAGUGGCGAAGGCGGCCUUCUGGACAGUGACUGACGCUGAGACGCGAAAGCGUGGGGAGCAAACAGG
rnacentral:rRNA from 1 species